AACGAACGCUGGCGGCAUGCCUAACACAUGCAAGUCGAACGAGACCUUCGGGUCUAGUGGCGCACGGGUGCGUAACACGUGGGAAUCUGCCCUUUGCUUCGGAAUAACAGUUAGAAAUGACUGCUAAUACCGGAUGAUGUCGAAAGACCAAAGAUUUAUCGGCAAAGGAUGAGCCCACGUAGGAUUAGGUAGUUGGUGGGGUAAAGGCCUACCAAGCCGACGAUCCUUAGCUGGUCUGAGAGGAUGAUCAGCCACACUGGGACUGAGACACGGCCCAGACUCCUACGGGAGGCAGCAGUGGGGAAUAUUGGACAAUGGGCGAAAGCCUGAUCCAGCAAUGCCGCGUGAGUGAUGAAGGCCUUAGGGUUGCAAAGCUCUUUUACCAGGGAUGAUAAUGACAGUACCUGGAGAAUAAGCUCCGGCUAACUCCGUGCCAGCAGCCGCAGUAAGAC
rnacentral:rRNA from 1 species